rnacentral:snRNA from 1 species
UUGCUUUGGCAGCACAUAUACUAAAAUUGGAACAAUACAGAGAAGAUUAGCAUAGCCCCUGUGCAAGGAUGACACGCAAAUUUGUGACGUGUUCUAUAUUUUU